UCCGGCUCAACGCCGGCAGUCUCUCUAGAGUCCCCACCAUUACGGGUCGGCCACCCUUUCAGGCGCCUACUUCCAGCAUGUCAAGCCUGGGUAAGGUUCUUCGCUUUGCAUCGAAUUAAGCCACGCGCUCCGCCGCUUGUGCGGGCCCCCGUCAAUUCCUUUGAGUUUUAGCCUUGCGGCCGUAGUCCCCAGGCGGCGGACUUAAUGCGUUAGCUUCGGCACAGAAGGCAUAAAGCCCCCCACACCUAGUCCGCACCGUUUACGGCCAGGACUAC
rnacentral:misc_RNA from 1 species